CAUGCAAGUCGAACGGUAACAGGCAUUAGUGAUCCCUUCGGGGUGAUCUUGGCGCUGACGAGUGGCGAACGGGUGAGUAAUGCUUGGGAAUCUGCCCUGUAGUGGGGGACAACCCGGGGAAACUCGGGCUAAUACCGCGUAAGCUCCACGGAGGAAAGCGGGGGAUCUUCGGACCUCGCGCUAUGGGAUGAGCCCAAGCCGGAUUAGCUUGUUGGUGGGGUAAUGGCCUACCAAGGCGACGAUCCGUAGCUGGUCUGAGAGGACGAUCAGCCACACUGGGACUGAGACACGGCCCAGACUCCUACGGGAGGCAGCAGUAGGGAAUAUUGGACAAUGGGCGCAAGCCUGAUCCAGCAAUGCCGCGUGUGUGAAGAAGGCCUGCGGGUUGUAAAGCACUUUCAGUAGGGAAGACAAACUCGAGGUUAAUACCCUCGGGUCUCGACGUUACCUACAGAAGAAGCACCGGCCAACUCCGUGCCAGCAGCCGCGGUAAUACGGAGGGUGCGAGCGUUAAUCGGAAUUACUGGGCGUAAAGCGCACGCAGGUGGCUGGGUCAGUCGGUUGUGAAAUCCCCGGGCUUAACCUGGGAAUUGCGAUCGAAACUGCCCGGCUAGAGUAUGGGAGAGGGAAGUGGAAUUCCCGGUGUAGCGGUGAAAUGCAUAGAUAUCGGGAGGAACACCAGUGGCGAAGGCGGCUUCCUGGCCCAAUACUGACA
rnacentral:rRNA from 1 species